rnacentral:lncRNA from 1 species
GGAGCCUGCGAAAUGAGAGAGAAUGGUGAUCACAGGAAGGAAAAGGGCGGAAAAACUCAACAGGCUCUGGAAGCUUUCCGCCAGAGAGGAUCUUGGAGAUUAUGAAGAAAGACAAAAAGAAAGUGUUGGUGAUUGACUUCAUCUGAAGCAGAGGUGGAUGUUAAUGCUAUUAACUGAUUUGACAUGUUGAAUUUGAGAUGUUAGACAUCGAAGUGAAUGGGUACUCUGAAAGAGCAUCAAGAAAAUCUGACUGAAAAAAGAUUGACUGAGAUGGGCGCUGGAGUAUAAGCCAGAGUUUCACAGGAAAGGGGUGCAGACCCAGACCUCAAGAAAGGGCUCUUGGAUCUCGUGUAAGAAGGAAUUCAGGGCGAGUCCAUAGAGUAAAGUGAAAGCAAGUUCAUUAGGAUACUAGAGUUCAAACAAGGUAUGGGGCCGCCCAGCUGGAGACUCCAUUUUCCAGACUCCUUUGCAGCUGUCUCUGGAAUGUGACCUAGUUAUCACCAAGGGAAUAUGAAUGGAAAUGAUAAGCGCAAUUUCUGCUUCAUCGGUUUAAAAGCAAAUUGCUUGCCCUCAACAUCUGUUCUUUUCCCCUGCUGUAAGCCAGAACAUGCACAUGCUUGCAAUUCAACUUUUGAUCAUGCAGAUGAAAACAUUUGCUAAGAAAUUAAAGAUCUUUUAAAACGACC